AGAGUUUGAUCAUGGCUCAGGACGAACGCUGGCGGCGUGCUUAACACAUGCAAGUCGAACGGAAAGGCCCUGCUUUUGUGGGGUGCUCGAGUGGCGAACGGGUGAGUAACACGUGAGUAACCUGCCCUUGACUUUGGGAUAACUUCAGGAAACUGGGGCUAAUACCGGAUAGGAGCUCCUGCUGCAUGGUGGGGGUUGGAAAGUUUCGGCGGUUGGGGAUGGACUCGCGGCUUAUCAGCUUGUUGGUGGGGUAGUGGCUUACCAAGGCUUUGACGGGUAGCCGGCCUGAGAGGGUGACCGGCCACAUUGGGACUGAGAUACGGCCCAGACUCCUACGGGAGGCAGCAGUGGGGAAUAUUGCACAAUGGGCGGAAGCCUGAUGCAGCAACGCCGCGUGCGGGAUGACGGCCUUCGGGUUGUAAACCGCUUUCGCCUGUGACGAAGCGUGAGUGACGGUAAUGGGUAAAGAAGCACCGGCUAACUACG
rnacentral:rRNA from 1 species